UACGGGGGGAGCAAACGUUGUUCGGAAUCACUGGGCGUAAAGGGCUCGUAGGCGGCCAACUAAGUCAGACGUGAAAUCCCUCGGCUUAACCGGGGAACUGCAUCUGAUACUGGAUGGCUUGAGAUUGGGAGAGGGAUGCGGAAUUCCAGGUGUAGCGGUGAAAUGCGUAGAUAUCUGGAGGAACACCGGUGGCGAAGGCGGCAUCCUGGACCAACACUGACGCUGAGGAGCGAAAGCCAGGGGAGCAAACGGG
rnacentral:rRNA from 1 species